CGUGUGUCAUUUGAUAUUCUGCAAUUCCUUGCCUCUACUGCAUUAUUCCCUCCCUUCCCUUGAUUUGUUGGAAUUCAUUUGGCUUAGUUUUUUAGCUACUAAUCUAUGCCUAAUUCCUUGGAAAUUGCAUUUGUGACCAAAUAGUUCUUAAGAUAGUAGCAUAGCACAUUUAUUUGUUUAUUGUUUUGAGCAUGAAUAUUGGUUAGAUCCCAUAGGAAACUAAUUUUGAUCUCCCCCAAAGCAAUAGCUUCAUGUCAAAUUUAAUCCUCUAUUUUGUAAUAUGUGGUGUCUUUAGUUAGAUCUUUGUUGAUCAUCUUUUCUUUUUUUUUUGUAUGUAUUCUUAUUGAGAUUAUCUUUGAUAAAAAAUGGUCGCAUGUAUUGAGUUCUUGGCCUUAUUCUUGAUAUGCUAUUUGUUUAGGAGUUCUCUUAUUUUAGUUUGAGUUUAAGUCUAGGAAAGUGUUAAAUGUUUCUUAUGUUUAUUAUUAUUUAAGGUUGGUUUUCCUUUUGCUAACUUAGUUUUGUCUUUCUUUUUUCUUGCCAUGAAAUUUGUCCGAGUUCUAACAUGAACUCCUAUCUCCUAUCCUUGCCUCUUGAGUUGUGUCGAAAUUCAAUAUUUCUCCUAUAUCGAGUCAUCCAGAGUAGCGGAACAGGCUGAAACGCAGUCCAGAAAAGCUGUAAACAGUUUGUAUACACUAAGUAUACAAUGAUAUACAUGUCAAAUGCAGAAAGACAAAGCUAAAAAUUGAAAUCACAGGUUGCCAGGGCCGAAGUUGGCUGUAUAAACUUGGUCAACUGUUCAAUGUGCAGAAAAGUGGGUUGUAUACAU
rnacentral:lncRNA from 1 species